rnacentral:rRNA from 1 species
GACGAACCGUGCGAACGUUAUUCGGAAUCACUGGGCUUAAAGCGCGUGUAGGCGGGCCGGCACGUCGAUGCUGAAAGCCCCCGGCUCAACCGGGGAACGGGCGUCGAUACGACCGGCCUGGAGGGGGGUAGGGGGAGCCGGAACUUCCGGUGGAGCGGUGAAAUGCGUUGAGAUCGGAAGGAACGCCCGUGGCGAAAGCGGGCUCCUGGACCCCACCUGACGCUGAGACGCGAAAGCCAGGGGAGCGAACGGG